AGCCUGAUGCAGCGACGCCGCGUGAGGGAUGACGGCCUUCGGGUUGUAAACCUCUUUCACCAGGGACGAAGCGCAAGUGACGGUACCUGGAGAAGAAGCACCGGCCAACUACGUGCCAGCAGCCGCGGUAAUACGUAGGGUGCGAGCGUUGUCCGGAAUUACUGGGCGUAAAGAGCUCGUAGGCGGUUUGUCGCGUCGUCUGUGAAAUUCUGCAGCUUAACUGCAGGCGUGCAGGCGAUACGGGCAGACUUGAGUACUACAGGGGAGACUGGAAUUCCUGGUGUAGCGGUGAAAUGCGCAGAUAUCAGGAGGAACACCGGUGGCGAAGGCGGGUCUCUGGGUAGUAACUGACGCUGAGGAGCGAAAGCGUGGGUAGCGAACAGGAUUAGAUACCCUGGUAGUCCACGCCGUAAACGGUGGGUAGUAGGGGUGGGGCUCAUUUCACGAGUUCCGUGCCGUAGCUAACGCAUUAAGUACCCCGCCUGGG
rnacentral:rRNA from 1 species